GGGAGAUACCAUGAUCACGAAGGUGGUUUUCCCAGGGCGAGGCUUAUCCAUUGCACUCCGGAUGUGCUGACCCCUGCGAUUUCCCCAAAUGUGGGAAACUCGACUGCAUAAUUUGUGGUAGUGGGGGAGCAUGCAAGUGCAUGUGGAGGCCUGC